GGUUCUAUAGUGUAGUGGUCAUCACGUCUGCUUUACACGCAGAAAGUCCUGGGUUCAAUCCCCUGUAGAACCA
rnacentral:tRNA from 1 species